GAGAUAGAUAUAGAUCUAUAUGUGUGUGUGUGUGUGUGUGUGUGUGUAUAUAUACAUAUAUAUACACACACACACACACACACACACACACACAGAUAUAUAUC